rnacentral:tRNA from 3 species
AUUAGCUCAGUUGGCAGAGCACUUGACUUUUAAUCAAGGUGUCCGGGGUUCGAAUCCCCG